GAGCUUAUCCUGGGAAAAUAACACCAACAACUUACAGCUGAUCUGAUUUUUCUCCUUCCCACUGUCCUGCAGGAAAUUCUGACCUCAUGUUUAUUUUCCUUUCUUUAAGAUGCUAACUUGAAAAACAAAAAGAAAAGGAAUCCCAUUUGGAGCCAAGCUGAAGCCACACAGGAACAACUCAGCAAUACAUAAUGCAAAGGAUUCCAGUGGAUUUGCAAGCAGGAGGAUGAAAUAAGACAGAAAACAGUAGAGAGAAUUCUGGUUGGUCUCACGUUGAUGGAGAUGCAACAAAGAUAAAACAGAGACCCUGAGUCCUACUCAUGUCCCUACGAUUGUCUCUGUAUUUUAUCCAUCAACAUCUGAAUGCUAAUCACUCAAAAAUCCUGAGAGCGGAGACAGACUCCAAGGGCUUCCCCUCAGAAGGCCUAGAGUCACAGUCUGCCUUGUGCUUUCUGCGAUGCCCCUUCAGCGUCAUGUCCCUUCAUUCAUAGCUGGACAGUGUGAGCCAAAGUGGAGGAGAUGUCUUUUCAGCCACACCUGGUAGAAGAAAUCUGCAACCAUGGCACUUGACACAGAUCCUCUUUGAUGCUGAACUGACAAGUUACUUGCAGAGUUUGAAUGGAGCAAAGGGAAAUUUUUCCAGAGGAAGCUACAAAUUUGCAGCAACUGCCAAGGAGGUGUGCAGCCAGUGCAAAGGUGUUACAUCCAGAGGUGCUAAGUACCUGAGCUCCUUCCUGACACCAGUGGGGCAGAAUGCUCUGCAUCUCUCUGAAGCUCUGUGUCUGGACCUCUCUCAGCUGACCCAUGGUUCUUUGUACCUUCUUGCUCCCUGCCUUGGCACCCAGGGCCACAGUUUAUAAAUGCACAGGGUCCAACUCUGCCCCAUCCCCUUGUUGCUGCUGCUGCUGGAACUAUUCACUUUUGGAUGUCUUGCUGAGAGAAGCUUUGGGAUAUCUUUGCAACAGAUAUAACAAACGGGUUUGUGUCUUAAAUCAGGAGGUGGACAUCAUUUCUGACAGAAGUGAGACCUAAUAUUCCUCAAAGAUUUCUUCUAAUGGAGACAAGAAAUGUGAAGAUGAUAACACAAAUAUUCAUACUGAGAGAUGAAAAUAAGGGGAAUAAGAAUCCUCUGAAUUUCAGGUUCUCAGAGAAUAAAUUCAGGAUCCAGGAAGAGAAACACUACGGUAACCUGGGUAAAACUCUUUCCUAAGUAGGCUUCUUUUUACUUUGGACUUUAUACUUUUUACUUGCCUUCUUCUCUUUUUUUCUUUUUUUUUUUUUCCUGGUAACUCUGCCUCUGAAGACUUUGAGUAUGUGACUGACCAGAGGAUCUGGUUGUAGAAGAGAUUAUAGAACAAAAUGACAGAAUGGUCCAGUCAUCAAGACUCAGCAGUAUUUAAAAGAACUGAAAGAUAAAAUACUGGAAUCAAUAAGGGUGCUAUGAAACUAAUUUUUUAAAACUGUACUUCUUCUUGAAGAUUGGAAAGAGACAUGUGUGAUGCUAAUUUCUAAAAAGCCUUUGUGAGAUAUUCAGGAAACAUAUCUGGAGGUCUCUUGCCCACGCCAGGCAAACUGAGUCAUGAAACACAGAGUUAGAGGACACCUUGCAACUUACGAUUCCUGGAGAAUAGUAAAUAACAUUUUUAUAUGAGAAAGUGUGUGAAAAGACAGAGUUCUCUGAAGAUGUCUAGAAGCAUAUUAGGAUCUGCCUGAUAAGUAUACUUGGAUUUCCAGAGGAUUUUCAGUGAAAUCCCUCAUCAGAAGAUUUAAAUGUAUUUAAUGCUUGAAUAAUUGGUUACAGGAUAGGAAUCAAAGAGCAAAUGUUCAACUCUGGCAAUAGAUAGAGACUAUCAGGGGUUUUCCCUGGGGGUCUAUGUUAAAAUGUGUGCAGCACAACCGUAUUUUUAUACAACGUGGAAAACAAAAGUGGCAAAUGACAAAGUGUGCUGAAGAUGAUACGUUAUUAUGUGUAGCAAGGAUUAUAGCCUUGUGCAUUUGCUCUUUAUAAAUACCUGUGUUCUUGUUUUUUUCCUUGUCUUUCUAACACCUUCACAUCUUUUUAAGGGUUACCAGUGCAUGGUAACUACAGCACAAUGAGCAGUGUGACCAUUCAUAAAACUGCUUCACAGACAGUGCCUCAGUUCUUAUGGGUCAAUGAAUGGACUGGCCCUUGGGCAGUGGUACUGGCCAUGAGUCUGGUUGAGUUUUUUGCACACAUCCUUUGGUUAUUUGUACAAGUGUAAGGGAAAGAGAGGCCAAACGUAAGACACAGAAAACAAUCAAGACAGAUUAAAAAAGCAGCAGCCUUACUCAGGCAUUAAGGACAGCACCCCUUCUCUUUUAUUUCAG
ensembl:lncRNA